rnacentral:rRNA from 1 species
AACGAACGCUGGCGGCAUGCCUAACACAUGCAAGUCGAACGCCCUCUUCGGAGGGAGUGGCGCACGGGUGCGUAACGCGUGGGAACCUGCCCUUAGGUUCGGAAUAACUCAGAGAAAUUUGAGCUAAUACCGGAUAAUGUCUUCGGACCAAAGAUUUAUCGCCUUUGGAUGGGCCCGCGUUGGAUUAGCUAGUUGGUGGGGUAAAGGCCUACCAAGGCGACGAUCCAUAGCUGGUCUGAGAGGAUGAUCAGCCACACUGGGACUGAGACACGGCCCAGACUCCUACGGGAGGCAGCAGUGGGGAAUAUUGGACAAUGGGCGAAAGCCUGAUCCAGCAAUGCCGCGUGAGUGAUGAAGGCCUUAGGGUUGUAAAGCUCUUUACUUGGGGAUGAUAAUGACAGUACCUGGAGAA